UAUAGUCAACAGUUUCUUGUGAGCUCUUCAUUGAGAUUGUUGUGGAUUAAAAUCAGUUUUUAUUUUUCUAUGAAUGUAAUAUUUAGUGCUGAAAUGGAAGAAGCCUAUUUGCAACUUGGUGAUUAACCAUCAGAAGGAACAACUAUGUAAAAGGAUUUCUAUGAUUGUGGUGCAUAAUAACUACAGCAACUUCAGAAGAUUGCAUCGUAGAAACUGGAAACUUCCCGAUAAAAAAGACGCUGUGGGGUGGCAGAUGGCGGUACUAGUGGUCGGCGCAGGCACUGGGGAAAACGCAGAUGCGAAGAUGGCGGGGAAAUAAAACUUAUCCAGGU